CUCAAGCCUAUGUAAAAUAUUCAUGCUGGUUGACAACCAAUAUAUACUGUUAACUUAUUUCUCAAGUCUAAAGAAAUUUAUACAAGCUUGCAAUUAAUAAUUCAAUGCAAAAGGAUGGAUAGCUAGACUUUCCCCAUGAUUUUCAAACAAACUAGCCUAGAAAUCAUCCAAUGAAACAUAGUCGAAAUUAUAUAAAUCCAAAGGAGAAGACUGGUAAAGCUUGGCUACGACUAAAAUGAGGGAGAUCAUUUGUGGUUGGCUAUGAUGAUUCUUCCAUUGUUGAUGAGUACUCUAACAAGAAAUUGGGAUAUGAGGAAACGACGUCCAAAACAUUUUUCUUGAGUAUGCUUUUUGUAGGCUAUUCAAUUGCCAAAGGAAAAUUCUCCUUCCAUUUCUUCAUAGAGGUGUUCCAGUAGUUUUUUAUUUCAGUGUCUGUUCUUGAAGGCAGUUUUGCUACAUGGCAACCCAUCUGAAGAAUAUCCAAAAACCAAAUGACUAUAUAAUCAAUCUGGCUUGUAAAAUUACAUGCAAUCUAAUGUAGUCUACCUAAUUCUAAUUAAGAUUCAUAAAUCCUGUGCAACUAAACGAUUCGUAAUUAUAUAUGAUGUAAAAUACAUAACUAAGCAAUUUCCCAAAAUCUUGUGCAACUUGAAAAUGAUUUCUUCUUCUUCCUUAGUGAUGUUUCCAUAAUUUAUACCAGGCCUUAAGUAACUCAACCAACGAAGUCUGCAACUCUUCCCUAUCCUUGACAAGCCUAUGCAUGUUGAUUGCAUAUAAAUAAGUAAAAGAUAGUAUUUAACCAUACUUUAAUCUUUGAAUAAGUUAGGUUAAUUAUAUACUAGCAUGUUUUGGCAUUUCAUUCCAAUUCCAAAUGCCAUAUCUCCUAACGUAUGCUACCAACUUCUAACCUUCUUCUAGGCUCUAUGCUCAUUUCCUUACAAGUUACAACCCUUUUAUCUUGUGAUGGAUUCCUUGCCAUUACUUGGGAAAUUCUAUACCUUAAAGUAACCAGCUGGAAUCUCAAAUCUCUAUUGCUUGAAUGACAUAGUGUCACGACCCGGUACUCCCUUCGAGCCUGUGACAUUCGCCGCGAUGUCUCGAUAGACAUUCAUUACCCAUAUUGUCAAUCAAAACCUCGCAAGGCUCUUGCAUCAGUUUUACAUCUCCCCUGUGAGCAAUAGUUACUAAAUAUUAUGUUUUAAGAGAUUAUAAGCUAUUUCCAAACCAAAACAAUACAAAAAUAAUUUUCAUCUCUCGGGGGUAUUUUGGUCAUUUUUCCUUGAAAAUUUCGAAACCAGCUAAUAAUGUAGUAUGCGAGUGCAAAACACAUAUUUCAUAAUCAAAAAUAAGUUUAGAUGUCUAAAACAUUCAUUUAAGGUGAAAUUAUGACUAUUUGAAUAUAAUAAAAAUAUUCAAUAAAAUAUUCUAUUUUCUUAUAAAACAAUUUUUAUAGAGUUAUUUGUUAGAAAUUUUUAUAGCAUAAAAGCGAAAUAAAUUCAUACAUAUUGUAAUACAGAUAGUCAAGGUAUGUAAUUUAAUUUACAAUGACACGUGGGCCCCCAAAUGACUAAAAGUAAUGAAGGUUGUGAACCUACAGUUUUUGAGGAUACAAGUCCAGCUAUAGCCCUAAACGAAAUGAGCUAUCUACCGACUAUCCUGAGCCUGAAAUGGGUGGAAAGGAGGGUGAUGAGAUUAUAUAAUCCUAGUGAGUAAACAAAUAUCAUCUAAAAUAUCUAAAGCUGAGUAAAUGGAGACAGAUAAAAUAGAUUAGCAUAAAAAUGAUUCACAGCAUUUUGAACUCAUUUUAAUAAGAUAAAAUAGAUUCAUUUCACACAAAUAAACAACAAGGCUUAUGAUUUCUUGAAAAGCUUGGCUCGUGCCAAAAUCAUUCUCAUACUCGGUUGUCAGGGAUACCUUGGCCUGGAGCUAUCCCAACCGAGUCUGCCAAGGCUGUUAAAAAAGUCAUGUACGCAUAAAUCAUGUUUUUAUUUUGAAACAUAGUCGUUCCUUGGCGUUGGCUGAGUUCACCUUCACGUGGUGGUUUGGGGUGAAGUGAACUCUAAAGUUUUACCUUAGGAGUUAACCUAAGCGCUUCUUGUACCGAGGUAAAAUAUAACAGGGUUACCGUACCCCUCUAAUAGGCUGGUCCACAGAAACCCACCACUGUAGUGACUAAUCUAUAACCCACCAAUUUAAUAAAAAUUUUGACAGCAUGACAUGGCAAUUUUAUCAUUAUCAAGCCUAUCAAGGCAAACAACAGUUUAUACAUUUUCAAUACAAAUACCCAUCUAGCCAUUCAUGCCCACAUUAUCAUAAGCCAUUUAAUUCAAAACAUAAUUUACAAUACAGCAAGUAGUCUCCAAUUACUCCAUUUUCAAGUCAUCAUUAAAUUUCAAAAUAAUUUAUAAAAUCAUUUCAUUUAAACACAUUUUUCAUAAAAUUACAAAAUCGGAUAAAAAAAUACUUUAGAUAAUUAAGACGAUAAUAAGGUUACUCACUAUAAUGGGAAUUGAGUUCCGAGUACUCCGAUUCUUAAUCCUCGGGUACUAUCUCUUUACUUUUGCCAGAAUGCUCACC
rnacentral:lncRNA from 1 species